GUCGGUGUUAGGCCUCAAGGAGCCUGCCAAGUGCUUGUCUGUGCUGACCUCGACCUGCCUGUGAGGGAUCUGGUUUGUGUUUAUGAAAAUACAGGGGAAAAAAAAGAUGCUGUGAAAGUGAAGAACAUAUUGUUAAGAAUGAGAAUUUCCUGGCAGGCAGUCCUUCGAGGUCAUUUUAAUUUUCCAGACAUCUUCAUCAGCUGUUAUAAACCAAUAGCAGUUAUUACUUGGAAAUGGAAAUUAUUGAAAACGUAUAGAGAAAUUCCAAGGAUCCUGACACUGAGGCUUGUCAUGGCAGCUUCUUUUGUAAACAGUUUGUACAGUGAGUCUAUGCAGAAUCCUACAAAUCCUGUGAAACUAAGGCUGGGGAGAGAAAGAGAAGGAAACCUAUUUUUCAGAGUUCAUGUCUGGUUGGAGACUGCGUUGAUAAGAAGUAGAUGGUGUUCAGUUCUGCUUCUUAAACAGCAAUCUACUUGGUUCUGGCAGCAGGACUGUUCAAAGGAGAAGCAGAACUGCUUUCUUCAGAAGUUCAGCAAACUUUACUGCAGCCAGGGCCCUCACAGAGCAGCGAGGGCCUACCCUAAGGAAGCUGAAUGUUGUUUUACUCCCAUAAGAACAUGUUGUUCCACCUUCUGUUUGUUGAGUCUUUUUCUUAAACCAUAGACACUUGCAAUUUGGUUUCUAGGUAAAAAGAGCUCAUUACAGUGGCUUGUCUCUUAUGAUUCAGAAACCUGAAAUAAAGAUAAUUUAGGCUACA
rnacentral:lncRNA from 1 species